rnacentral:rRNA from 1 species
AUUGAACGCUGGCGGCAGGCCUAACACAUGCAAGUCGAACGGAUGAAGGGAGCUUGCUCCUGGAUUCAGCGGCGGACGGGUGAGUAAUGCCUAUGAAUCUGCCUGGUAGUGGGUGAUAACGUCCUGAAACGGGCGCUAAUACCGCAUACUUCCUGAUGGAGAAAGUUGGGGAUCUUCGGACCUCACGCUAUCAGAUGAGCCUAGGUCGGAUUAGCUAGUUGGUGGGGUAAAGGCCUACCAAGGCGACGAUCCGUAACUGGUCUGAGAGGAUGAUCAGUCACACUGGAACUGAGACACGGUCCAGACUCCUACGGGAGGCAGCAGUGGGGAAUAGUGGACAAUGGGCGGAAGCCUGAUCCAGCCAUGCCGAGUGUGUGAAGAAGGUCUUCGGAUUGUAAAGCACUUUAAGUUGGGAGGAAGGGCAGUAAGUUAAUACCUUGCUGUUUUGACGUUACCAACAGAAUAAGCACCGGCUAACUUCGUG